rnacentral:rRNA from 1 species
UACAGAGGUCCCAAGCGUUGUUCGGAUUCACUGGGCGUAAAGGGUGCGUAGGUGGCGAGGUAAGUUUGAUGUGAAAAGUCCAGGGCUCAACCCUGGAAUGCCGGUGGAUACUGUCGGGCUAGAGUCCGGAAGGGGCGAGUGGAAUUCCUGGUGUAGCGGUGAAAUGCGCAGAUAUCAGGAGGAACACCAAUGGCGAAGGCAGCUCGCUGGGACGUGACUGACGCUGAGACGCGAAAGCGUGGGGAGCAAACAGG